rnacentral:rRNA from 1 species
CAGCCGCCGCGGUAAUACGAAGGUCCCGAGCAUUGUUCGGAAUCACUGGGCGUAAAGGGAGCGUAGGCGGCGUGGUAAGUCAGAUGUGAAAUCCCGGGGCUCAACCCCGGAACUGCAUCCGAUACUGCCAUGCUAGAGGAUUGGAGAGGCAGCUGGAAUUCUUGGUGUAGCAGUGAAAUGCGUGGAGAUCAAGAGGAACACUCGUGGCGAAAGCGAGCUACUGGACAAUAACUGACGCUGAGGCUCGAAGGCCAGGGUAGCGAAAGGGAUUAGAUACCCCUGUAGUCCCUGUCUCUUAUAC